rnacentral:rRNA from 3 species
GCGCGCAAACUUUACAAUGCGAGCAAUCGUGAUAAGGAAACCCUGAGUGCCUGUCGAUGCAGGCUGUUCAUAUAUCUAAAUCAUAUGUGAAGAAAGGGCAGGGCAAGACCGGUGCCAGCCGCCGCGGUAAUACCGGCUGCUCGAGUGAUGGCCACUAUUACUGGGUUUAAAGCGUCCGUAGCUUGACUGUUAGGUCCCUUGGGAAAUCUUCACGCUCAACGUGAAGGCGUCUAAGAGAUACCGGCAGUCUUGGAACUGGGAGAGGUAAACCGUACUUCGGGGGUAGGAGUGAAAUCUUGUAAUCCUCGAGGGACGACCUAUGGCGAAGGCAGUUUACCAGAACAGCUUCGACAGUGAGGGACGAAAGCUGGGGGAGCAAACGGG